GAGAGAACGACUGGGGGAGUGGCAGAGAGAGAGACAGAAGGAGCGAGAGAAUCCCAAGCGGGCUCCGCAUCGUCAGCACGGAGCCCGUUGUGGGGCUCAAACCCAUGGACCGUGAGAUCAUGACCUGAGCCAAAACCAAGAGUCAGAUGUGUAACUGACUGAGCCAUCCAAGAAUGAUUCCCAGAGAAAUGUGGAGCUGGAGGGAGGAGCAUCCCCCCCUAACCUGCACUGGAAAGCAAGAAAUCAUGUGAGCCCAGGACCAGUGCUGACUUGGAGGAGGGGGCACUCAGCUGUUGGCCACCGCCUGAGAUCAGGUCCGGGGAACGACCCUGCAGGCCCUUUCCUGUCUGAGCUUCAGGCUGAGUCUCUGGAGAACGGAACCCUCUCCCAUGUCCUUGUGCCCAAAUCCUGCUUAUUCUUCAGCCUCAGAAUUCAGUGCUGCAAGACGCAGUUCCCUAACACUUCCUCCGCUGCCUGGCAAAAAUCCCCACCCGGAUCAAUCCGACUGUCUGGCUCUCAUCACCCAUAACCAAGAUGCUGAGCCGUGCUGGAGAAAAUCACAGAAGACAGAGACAGAUGCAUUGUAAAUUCUCGGU